rnacentral:rRNA from 1 species
AUUGAACGCUGGCGGCAGGCCUAACACAUGCAAGUCGAACGAGAGGAGGACGGGUGAGUAAGGGCGGGGAAAGUGGGCGAUGGAGGGGGAUAAGGAGGGGAAAAGGUAGAAAAAAGCGCAAAAGAAGGGAUGGGGCGAGAUGGGAUUAGCGAGUAGGUGGGGUAAAGGCUCACCUAGGGGACUAUCCCUAGCUGGUCUGAGAGGAUGACCAGCCACACUGGAACUUAGACACGGUCCAGACUCCUACGGGAGGCAGCAGUGGGGAAUAUUGCACAAUGGGCGCAAGCCUGAUGCAGCCAUGCCGCGUGUAUGAAGAAGGCCUUCGGGUUGUAAAGUACUUUCAGCGGGGAGGCGUUACCCGCAGAAGAAGCACCGGCUAACUCCGUGCCAGCAGCCGCGGUAAUAC